rnacentral:rRNA from 1 species
GGAGGAAAGUAGGGGAUCGCAAGACCUUGCGCUUUUUGAGCGGCCGAUGCCUGAUUAGCUAGUUGGUAAGGUAAUGGCUUACCAAGGCAACGAUCAGUAGCUGGUCUGAGAGGACGACCAGCCACACUGGGACUGAGACACGGCCCAGACUCCUACGGGAGGCAGCAGUGGGGAAUUUUGGACAAUGGGCGAAAGCCUGAUCCAGCCAUGCCGCGUGAGUGAAGAAGGCCUUCCGGUUGUAAAGCUCUUUCGGUCGGGAAGAAAUAGUUGUGGCUAAUAUCCACAAUGAAUGACGGUACCGACAUAAGAAGCACCGGCUAACUACGUGCCAGCAGCCGCGGUAAUACGUAGGGUGCAAGCGUUAAUCGGAAUUAUUGGGCGUAAAGGGUGCGCAGGCGGUUGUAUAAGUCAGAUGUGAAAUCCCUGGGCUUAACCUAGGAAUUGCGUUUGAAACUACAAAGCUAG